rnacentral:rRNA from 1 species
GAUGAACGCUGGCGGCGUGCCUAAUACAUGCAAGUCGAGCGAACAGACGAGGAGCUUGCUCCUCUGACGUUAGCGGCGGACGGGUGAGUAACACGUGGAUAACCUACCUAUAAGACUGGGAUAACUUCGGGAAACCGGAGCUAAUACCGGAUAAUAUAUUGAACCGCAUGGUUCAAUAGUGAAAGACGGUUUUGCUGUCACUUAUAGAUGGAUCCGCGCCGCAUUAGCUAGUUGGUAAGGUAACGGCUUACCAAGGCGACGAUGCGUAGCCGACCUGAGAGGAUGUUCUGCCCCACUGGAACUGAGACACGCUCCAGACUCCUACGGGAGGCAGCAGUAGUGAAUCUUCCGCAAUGGGCGAAAGCCUGACGGAGCAACGCCGCGUGAGUGAUGAAGGUCUUCGGAUCGUAAAACUCUGUUAUUAGGAAAGAACAAAUGUGUAAGUAACUAUGCACGUCUUGACGGUACCUAAUCAGAAAGCCACGGCUAACAACGU